GAUAUAUGACACUGUGCGAAAGCCCGUGACAGAGAUGCGCCGCGUGUGGAGAAGGGCUUCGGAUAGUAUAGCACUCUAAGUUGGGAGGAGGGGCAGUAAGUGAAUACCUGGAGGUUGUGACGUCACCCAAAGAAUAAGCACCGGCUGUCUUCGUGCCAGCGGCCGCGGUAAUAGGAAGGGUGCAAGCGUUAAGCGGAAUUGCUGGGCGUAAAGCGCGGGUAGGUGGUUUGUUAAGUUGGAAGUGAAAGCCCCGGGCUCAACCUGGGAACUGCUUUCAAAACUGGUAAGCUGGAGUAUGGCAGAGGGUGGUGGAAUUUCCUGUUUAGCGGUGAAAUGCGUAGAUAUAGGAAGGAACACCAGUGGCGAAGGCGACCACCUGGGCUAAUACUGACCCUGAGGUGCGAAAGCGUGGGGAGCAAACA
rnacentral:rRNA from 1 species